CUGUAGCCUAUCACAUGCCGCCAGCAGUAUCUGACGUGGCCUAUUGUUUCCACCCAACUCUAUUUUAAUUGGAAACGAAAAAUAACUUGUAAUAUUGGUAGUAACAAUCUGUAUGUCACCGUGAUAGUCUACUGCUCAAUGGGGGGAGUAGGCUAUGCGCUGCAAGCCGGUUCACAGUGUGUGUCCCGCAGUACUGCUAGCUAGUGUAGCUAAUAUCAGGGUGUCAGCUAAUGAACAGUUAUUGCAGUAAUUUUUACCGACAAUGUACAACUACUACGGCAUUAAUGUCUACAUUAUAAAAAUAUAUAUAUAUUUUGAACAGGAAACGACGGUUUUGGACGCUCAUUCUAUAGUUUAAUUUGGAAUAAAAAAUUCCAUAUAGUUGUGCCUGAAGAACCAAACGAUCUGCACACUAAUGUUACCACCUAAACUAGCUAGCUAGAUGGUUCGUCCUGUGGCUCAAACUUAAACCCCCACGACAAGAAACCUACAUACAGAGGAGCACCUCAAUCCCCCAAAAUUGGCUUGGCUACAAUGCCCCGAAGAUAAGACAAACAUUUGUCAGGACAUAAAAAAAGGUGUUUGAAGGUUUCUACAACAACACCCGGAUGCUUCAUUUCUUCCCAGCUGUAGUGUGCUCCACCUGUGACGUCAGUGAAGAGUGACAAUGUGAACAAAGGCAUCUUCAAGACAGUCAGCACAAGGGAGAUGGUGGCAGUACUUUCAGAGAAGAGCCGGGGGCUGCAGGAGGCCAUGGAUUUGCGCUGGAUGUGGCAGGCUAGGCAUGGAACCCCUCGUAGUGCCAAUCAGGAGAGAGGAAUUUGCUCCAGGUGGAGCUGACAACACACGCCGGCAGCACUACUUGGUUUUCUGGCCCCAGCCGCUCUCUUCCCAGGGCCCACUCCAGGCACAGCCUGUAGGCAGCAAGGCGUAAUUGUCCACAAAGAACAAAACAAAUAUCUGUCAAGCACCAUAAAUAGCAAGACAUUCAUGUUACCCACCUGAUACCAUCAUUGCCAUUGACAGUUGUAAUAUGUCGGGCUGGGGGAUUGCUAAAAUGAAUGGGUAGGAUUGUAAUGGAAAAAUAAAAAGUGACAUUCCUUCAAGUUAGGCUACAUCCUCCACACAAAACGUUGAAUGAACAUGCCUCUAUACAAAGCCAUGUGCUUUUCAGACUGGUAUUUGAGUAACGUUAUAUCAGUAUGGGAAUGUUUGUUUGGUAGCUGGCUAUAUUGUUUCAUUACCUUUUUCACAAUGUAGCUAGCUAUUCGUAUGGAAAUUAAUUAAUGUAAUGUUAACGUAAGCUGGUGAUGUAAGUCGGCUACCUAGUUAGAACAAGUUUAGCUAGCUACUGUGGCUAGUUAGCUGGCUACUGCCUGCUAGUUGCCAACACUAGUUAGCUAGACUGGUUCUAGUUAGCUAGACUGAUUAUAGCUAAUGUUAGCUAACUUAGAUGCAGCAAAGGAGCUUGUGAAAAAAAGUAAUGAAUUC